rnacentral:pre_miRNA from 1 species
UAGGUACUCCCUCCGUCCCAAAAUUCUUGUCUUAGAUUUGUCUAAAUACGAAUGUAUCAAGUCACGUUUUAGUAUUAGAUACAUUUGUAUCUAGACAAAUCUAAGAGAAGAAUUUUGGGACGGAGGGAGUACAUG